AGUGAACGCUGGCGGUAGGCCUAACACAUGCAAGUCGAACGGACGCACAGUAAGCGCUUGCUCUUACGGGUGGCGAGUGACGGACGGGUGAGGAGUACAUAGGCAUCUACUUUUUCGUGGGGGAUAACGUAGAGCAACUUACGCUACUACCGAAUACGACCUACGGGUGAAAGCAGGGGAUCUUCGGACCUUGAGCGAUUGAUUGAGCCGAUGUCGGGUUAGCUAGUUGGCGGGGUAAAGGCCCACCAAGGCGACGAUCCUUAGCUGGUCUGAGAGGAUGAUCAGCCACACUGGAACUGAGACACGGUCCAGACUCCUACGGGAGGCAGCAGUGGGGAAUAUUGGACAAUGGGCGCAAGCCUGAUCCAGCCAUACCGCGUGGGUGAAGAAGGCCUUCGGGUUGUAAAGCCCUUUUGUUGGGAAAGAAAAGCAGCAUGUGAAUACCCCGCUGUUCCGACGGUACCCAAAGAAAAAGCACCGGCUAACUACGUG
rnacentral:rRNA from 1 species